rnacentral:rRNA from 1 species
AAUCCACUCCUAAGACUCAAAGUUAUUUUAAUUUAAAUUUAAUUUGCUAAAAUUAAGCAUUUCCUUUUGCAUAAGGAGAGAAAAACAAAAAAAAAUCGUUAUAGUUCCGAAAAUUUUUGAGCAAAGACAAUUAAUUUCAAAAAUAGCAUAUUUUUUUUGUCUUAGUAGAUAUAAUCUUUCCGAAAAAAUUAAUAUCUGAUUUAAUAAAUCAAAGAAAAGGAAAGCCUUUCAAUUAGGAGUUUUAAAACUAUAAUUAUUGUAAAAUUGUUAAAAGUCUUUAAAAUUUUUCAUAAAACAAUUUUUACUUAUCAUUACUCCCAAAUCCAGAUGAUAAUAAAAAAAAUUUUUCUUACUAGUAUAACAAAAUUUAUUUAACUUAAUUAAUCAUAUGAAUAAGUAAAAAUUGUUUUUAGAGAACUAAAAGAAAAAUCUUUUGAAUGCUUAUCAAAAACUAUUCUAUUUUAUUAGAUAGAAAUCCCCGCCAAUUGUUGUUUAUAAAAGGCCGAAGGAUUUUCACUUCGCGAAGGUAGCAUGAUAAUUUGGCCGUUUAUUGCGGUCUAGGAUGAGUGAGAAAACAAAAGAUUUCUUUUCAAAAAACAAAAUUAAAAACUAACCUUUCUUUGAAAAUCAAGAAAAGGAUUUUUUAGACGAAAAGACCCCAGGAUCUUAUAUUUUAAUAAAAUUUUAUUGGGGCAAUACUUUAAAUUAAAAAGAAAAGAAUUUAAGAGACUGUAUUAACAAAAAAAAGAUACCCUGGGGAUAACAGGGUAAUUUUCUAGAAGAGACCAUAUCCAAUAGAAAGAUUUCUACCUCGAUGUUGGCUUUCCUAUUUCUUUUAGAGGGAGAAUGUUAAAAGAAAAGUCUGUUCGACUUUUAUAAGGAACAUGAGCUGAGUUCAAGUCGGCAAAAGCCAGACUGGUUUUUAUCUAAAAAUAAUCAAAGAAGAAUCCAGUACGAAAGGACAAAUUCUUCUCUCAAAGAGAAAAGACAAAAUUUGAAUUAAAAUUUCAAAAAAAUGCUGUCAUGA